rnacentral:rRNA from 1 species
CAAAUUUAAAAUCUACCUGGUUUYCAGGUCGAGUUGUAAUUUGAAGAUACGUUUUUGACGUUCCGGGUUGAACUAAAUCCUUUGGGAUAAGGUAUCAUGGAGGGUGAGAAUCCCGUAUAUACCAACCRYAGGGAUGUUAUUUAAUACGUUUCUWARGARUCSAGUUGUUUGGGAAUGCMGCUYUAAAUGGGUGGKAAAUUUCMCCUAAUGCUAAAUAUAAGCGAGAGACCGAUAGYGAACAAGUACMGUGAUGGAAAGAUGAAAAGAACUUUGAAAAGAGAGUUAAAUWGUACGUGAAAUUGUUGAAAGGGAAACGAUUGAAGUCMGUCMUGCCMGUGGGAAUCAACUURGAGGAAACUCUGAGKGCACUUYUUCSCUUGGCAGGUCAACGUYGAUUUUGGAUGUCAUAAAAUGAUUGGGGGAAGGKAGCYCYUUCGGGAGUGUUAUAGCCCUUGGUAGAUGUGAUGUCUGGGAUCGAGGAUUGCAAUGGAUACCCUUUGGGGCUAGCCGCCUGAUCUCUAAUYGGUAUUGGGUUACGGAYAGCAUGCUGACCCGUGAUCUAAUUAUUGGUUAAAAGGUUAG